AGGGAAACUGGAGACCUCUCGCCUUCAGACCUCCUGAGACUGGUGUCAAGAGUCGUCCCCCCCCCCCACGCCAGCCGCCAAGGGCGGGCGGGGUCCCACCCAGAGCGACUUUGGAUAGGUCUCGGGACCGCGCGGGCCUAGCUGGGUGCACACGCUUCCCGCACGAUCCGCGAGGUCGAAUUACGAAAGCUGAGUUUUUCACAGUGACUCUGACCUCCCCCUUCCCCCUCACACACUCACUUCACCGCCCUCCGGGAGCCUUUCCAUCUGCAACUACAGAACUUAUGAAAUCAUCACAGUGACCCUCCAAGGUAGAUAUUAUUGCAGAUGAUGCAACAGAGGAUCAGAGUGGGCCUUGUCACCUUGCUGGCAAAAAGGAGUGAAAAGACUCCAACAAGAGUCUGAUACCUGUCUCUUAAUAUUGAUGGGACCAGAGCAAGAGUAAAUGAAUGUCUAAAGAUAAAGAAGUUAAAAGUCAAGCUUACAAAAAUCAGAGACUGCGUUCCCAUCUGCAGAGUGGACAGGAACUAUCAGCUAUCUGUCUGUCCAAAGACAGACAUUCCUAUCUGCAAAGCAAGGCUCCAGAAUGCCCCUCUUCUGCUUCCUCCACAAUCAUCCACCUGGAGUGAGGACUCUGGGAUCCCUGCCGAGGUCUGGAUACAGGGAGAAGAGUCGGUUGUACGGGUGGCCUGCAGACCUCUUAAAUACCAACCUGUGUGUAGUGCAGUCUAG